AGCCGUGUCGUCAACACUGUUUCAAUCAAGUUUUUAUUUGGGAAUUUUAAAAGGAAAGGUAUUAAAUUCUAUUUCUUUAACUUUGGUUUUUGUAUUGUUUGACCCAAAUGGCCAAAUGUCGAUAUGGAAUAUGUUAACGAACGGUUGGAUAUUUAUUUUUAAUUAUCUGGUCCAGAGGACACACGAAUCUAUGCUUCCUCUUUUGUUGUCUUCUGU